rnacentral:rRNA from 1 species
AUUGAACGCUGGCGGCACGCCUAACACAUGCAAGUCGAGCGGUAGCAUGGUUAGUAGCAAUACUAACUGAUGACGAGCGGCGGACGGGUGAGGAAUACGUAGGAACCUGCCCUCAAGCGGGGGAUAACCAAGGGAAACUUUGGCUAAUACCGCAUAAUCUCGAGAGAGAAAAGCUGCCCGCAAGGGUGGCACUUGAGGAGGGGCCUGCGUCCGAUUAGCUAGUUGGUAGGGUAAGAGCCUACCAAGGCGAUGAUCGGUAACUGGUCUGAG